rnacentral:rRNA from 1 species
GACGAACGCUGGCGGCGUGCUUAACACAUGCAAGUCGAACGCGCCUGUCCUCUGGGUUUCUGGGGGGUGGGUGAGUGGCGAACGGGUGAGUAACACGUGAGUAACCUGCCCCCUUCUUCGGGAUAACGGUCUGAAAGGGCUGCUAAUACCGGGUAUUCACUGGUCUCCGCAUGGGGUCUGGUGGAAAGGUUUUUUUCUGGUGGGGGUUGGGCUCGCGGCCUAUCAGCUUGUUGGUGGGGUGAUGGCCCACCAAGGCUUUGACGGGUAGCCGGCCUGAGAGGGUGACCGGUCACAUUGGGACUGAGAUACGGCCCAGACUCCUACGGGAGGCAGCAGCGGGGAAUAUUGCACAAUGGGCGCAAGCCUGAUGCAGCGACGCCGCGUGAGGGAUGGAGGCCUUCGGGUUGUGAACCUCUUUCGCCCGUGGUCAAGCCGCGACGUGGGUCGUGGUGAGGGUAGUGGGUAAAGAAGCGCCGGCUAACUACGUG